AAAAAGACAAACCCUGGUUUCCGUGUCCAACGUUUGACCGUCCGUCUUAUUUGAAAAAAUUAUAAAAAAAAUUAAAAAGACAAGUCACGCAUAAAAUAUUAAUCAUUUUUUAUCAUCUAACAACAAUGAAAAUAUGAAUUAUAAAAAAAUUUCAUGUAAGACGGACAGUCAAAGUUGGACACGGAAACUCAGGGUUUGUCUUUUU
rnacentral:pre_miRNA from 1 species